rnacentral:rRNA from 1 species
UACGUAGGGUGCGAGCGUUGUCCGGAAUUAUUGGGCGGAAAGAGCUCGUAGGCGGUCUGUCGCGUCGAUCGUGAAAACUUGGGGCUUAACCCUGAGCUUGCGGUCGAUACGGGCAUGACUGGAGUUCGGCAGGGGAGACUGGAAUUCCUGGUGUAGCGGUGAAAUGCGCAGAUAUCAGGAGGAACACCGGUGGCGAAGGCGGGUCUCUGGACAGUUCCUGACGCUGAGGCACGAAGGCCAGGGGAGCAAACGGG